rnacentral:tRNA from 1 species
GUCCCGUUCGUCUAGCGGUUAGGACGCUUCCCUUUCACGGAGGAAACAGGGGUUCGAUUCCCCUACGGGAUGCCA